UGAAUCAUCCAUCUUAUUUUGAAGUUAUUAAAAAAAUUAAUUUUAUAUUUAUUCUCUCAACGAAAAUUGUUAAUUCAAUUCAGUUCAAAUUUAAAACAAGAGAAUCGACUCUUUCCACCUAUGCAAACCGGCAAUCUCAAAAGCCAACAAGAGUAUGAAGAAUCAGAAAGUGAUGAAUUUCUUGAACAAAUUCUUUCCACUUAUCCCAUUCAUCUCUAUCUUCAGACCCUAAUGUUUGUCUAAAGGUUGAGAUUUGGCGCCGGAAGACGACGAUGAUGCAUCCGCGGCUGCUCUUCCUCUUCAGUUAAGUGUUGAGUCUAUGAGCUGAAAAGCAAGAAGGCUUUCAAGUUUGUAUUUUGUCAUUUCAGUUUGGUUGGGAAGGUAAGUUCAGAAUCCUAUCUAUCAUGCUGCAGCUGAAUAGAAUAUGCAAAAUUUUCUCGGUUCUUGUUGCUUGCAUGAGGCAUUCAUCCCCUGUUCUACGUUUUGCCUAUAUUUCCACUCUCCAGCCUUUCCAACCAAAUGUUUGCACCCUUCCUGGUUGUAUAACCUUCUUAAAAUUGUUUGCUCAGAGCUCCAAUCUGUUUAAAGGCAAAGAACUACAUUCAUGGAUGCUCAAACACAACUUUCUGGCCUCUCCAUUAUCCAUUACAAGCCUUAUCAACAUGUAUUCAAAGUGCAAUCACAUGCCCUAUGCUUUAUCAGUCUUUCUAACGUCUGAAAAUAUUCAUAAUGUUUAUAUUUACAAUGCAAUCAUUUCUGGGUUUGUUGGCAAUAACUUCAACAAGGAAGGUUUUGAGCUCUAUUUGAAUAUGAGACAUCUAGGUGUACAUCCAGACAAGUUCACUUUUCCUUGUGUAAUUAAGGGGUGCUCAGACGUUGUAGAAAUUAAAAAGAUUCAUGCUUUAUUGUUUAAGUUUGGGUUGAAAUUAGAUGUAUUCAUAGGCAGUGCUGUGGUAAACCGUUAUUUAAAAUUCAGGGCCAUGAGUGAAGCAUGCAGUGUGUUUGAUGAGUUAUCUUUGAGCGAUGUUACAAUUUGGAAUGCUAUGAUCAAUGGCUAUGUUCAUAUUGAGGAAUCUGAAAUGGCCUUGAAAACAUUUAGGAGGAUGAACAAAGAUGGUGUCGUGCCGAAUGACUACACCGCUACAGGGGUAUUAUCAGCUUUGACUAUGAGUGCGGACAUUUACAAUGGAUGUGCAGUGCAUGGAUUUGUGAUAAAAAAGGGUUAUGAUUCAGUUGUUUCGGUUUCAAAUGCACUGAUGGACAUGUAUGGAAAAUGUAAAAACAUUGUCAAUUCCACCAAAAUCUUUCAGUUAAUGUCAGUGAAGGACAUAUUCGCAUGGAACACUCUUAUAAAUGUCCAUGGAUAUCAUGGUGACCUUCAUGGAAUGUUGGAGGUCUUUCGUAAGAUGUUAGAUGUGAGAUGUAGACCUGAUUUGGUAACUUUUACAACAGUACUUCCUGCUUUCUCCCAGUUGGCUGCUUUGUUGCAUAUUAAGGAGAUUCAUAGGUUCAUGAUUGUUAAUGGGUUUGUAAGUUGUAGUGAUGUGAAUGUUCAUGACUACUUGCUUGUAUACAAUUCUCUUAUGGAUGUGUAUGUGAAAUGUGGUUAUAUGGGGUAUGCAUACAGGGUUUUUGAAAAGAUGAAUUUCAGAGAUGUGGCAUCAUGGAACAUUAUGAUCAUGGGAUUUGGCAUGCAUGGUCAAGGAAGCGAGGCACUGUCUAUGUUUGACUCUAUGUGUAGGGAAAACAUUGCACCUGAUGUAGUUACAUUUAUUGGUAUUCUGUCAGCAUGCAAUCAUGCAGGCUUUUUGAGUCAGGGCCGCGAAUACCUAUCACAGAUGGAGACUGCAUAUGGUUUGGUUCCAACUAUUGAGCAUUAUGCCUGUGUGGUUGACAUGCUUGGAAGGGCAGGGAUGCUAGAUGAGGCUUAUGAAUUGUUACUGACGAUGCCCAUCAAGAGUAAUGCUGUUGUGUGGAGGUCUUUCUUAGCAGCAUGUAGGCUACACGGGAAUUCUCAUCUUGCUGAGAUUGCUGCGAAUCACAUGUUUGAACUUGAUUCGGAACACUGUGGGAGUUAUGUAUUGAUGUCUAAUAUAUAUGGAGCAACUGGACUACAUGAUUCAGUGUCAGGCAUAAGAUCAGCAAUGAAGGGGCAAAGCAUUAAAAAGAAACCUGCUUAUAGCUGGAUAUAGGUCAUUAUUAGUGUACAUUCAUACACUAUUGGUGACCAAGACCAUCCUGAAGCUAACUCAAUCCAUGCCAUUCUGGAUUCAUUGAUUGCUUCCUUUUUCGAGCUAAAAUAUAUUCAGUCUGUCUUAUACAUUCUGCUAAAACGUAGAAAGUUUCUGCUUUCUUUAGUUUGAGACUCAAUUAAAGACUUUUUACAAAGCUAUUAUGGGAAUGCAACUAUGAAAUGUUGAAAGUUAGUAUAACAUUGAAGUGACUUACUAAGUGCACACGGAAUGUCGAGAUGACUUGAUUGAUUCAAAAAUAGGAAGAGAAUUGAAGUUAGAAUGACAGUUGUAGUUGAAGUUGAACAAUUAGAGAAUAACUCAAGCCUAGUGAAGCAACAACAUUAAUUCUAUAGUUAUGUUUGGAAGGUGAGAGUCUGGGCCGAGUUUCUUGUAAAAACACAGGUGAAUGCUGUCGAACAACGUGAAUGGAAGGUGAUGAUUAUAAGCAAGAAUCAGUUCUAGAAAUGCAGUUUGGAGAGGCAGAUCCAGUUCCUGCGCAUACUUUAGUGCAGCUGUCUGCGCUACAUUUGCCUAUGUAUCCACAUGCUAGAUCUUGUGGGUUGUGACCAAAGAUAAAACAGAUAAAAAACUUCUUCAAUACUAGAGUCUAGAAUUUAUAAUGAUAUUGUGUAAUUAACUAUUUAUGCUUAUAAUUGAGAUAUGCCAAGAACUUUUUAUGUGCAGUA